rnacentral:rRNA from 1 species
AAGCGGAGGAAAAGAAACCAACAGGGAUUGCCUUAGUAACGGCGAGUGAAGCGGCAACAGCUCAAAUUUGAAAGCUGGCCUUCGGGUCCGCAUUGUAAUUUGCAGAGGAUGUUUCGGGUGAGAUACCUGGCUAAGUUCCCUGGAACGGGACGUCGUAGAGGGUGAUAAUCCCGUAUGCGGUAGGCCUUCGAACCCUUGUGAAACUCCUUCGACGAGUCGAGUUGUUUGGGAAUGCAGCUCUAAAUUGGUGGUAAAUGCCAUCUAAAGCUAAAUACCGGCGAGAGACCGAUAGCGCACAAGUAGAGUGAUCGAAAGAUGAAAAGCACUUUGAAAAGAGAGUUAAAAAGUACGUGAAAUUGUUGAAAGGGAAGCGCUUGCAGCCAGACUUGAGUGGGAGUGAUCACCCGUGCCUCGUGUACGGUGCACUCUCUCCCAUCCAGGCCAGCAUCAGUUCGGGCGGUCGGAUAAAGGCCACGGGAACGUAGCUCCUCUCGGGGAGAACUUAUAGCCCGGGGCGCAAUACGGCCA